rnacentral:sRNA from 1 species
GGAUCGGGCCUUUCAGGCAUCCUCUCCUAAAAACUUUCACAGGCCGGGCCUUCCCGGCCUUUUUUUUGGUUUCGC